AUUGAACGCUGGCUGCAGGCCUAACACAUGCAAGUCGAGCGGAGCGGCGGACGGGUGAGUAAUGCCUAGGAAUCUGCCUGGUAGUGGGGGAUAACGUCCGGAAACGGGCGCUAAUACCGCAUACUAUUAGAUGAGCCUAGGUCGGAUUAGCUAGUUGGUGGGGUACAUGCCUACCAAGGCGACGAUCCGUAACUGGUCUGAGAGGAUGAUCAGGCAUAAUGGAACUGAGACACGGUCCAGGCUCAAGCAGGAGGCAGCAGUGGGGAAUAUUGGACAAUGGGCGAAAGCUUGAUACAGCCAUGCCGCGUGUGUGAAGAAGGUCUGCGGGUUGUAAAGCACUUUGAGUUAGGAAGAGUUACCAAAAGAAUAAGCACGGGCUAACUUCGUGCCAGCAGCCGCGGUAAUAC
rnacentral:rRNA from 1 species